GAGCUGCGGCAGAGGGGAGAGCGCGCGAGCGAGCCUGCAAGCGAGUGUGCGAGCGAGCAAUCCACCCGGGCUGGCUGAGCCGGGGAGGUCAAGCACGUGAGAACGGGGGAGAGGAGGAGGAGGAGGAGGGAGAGGAGGCAGGGAGCCCGCCAGCCUGCUGGGGAGGCGGCUGCGCUUGACAGCGGAGAGGCAGAGCGGCAGAGGAAAAGGAGGAAGAAAGCAGGGCUGGGUUGCCGUGCAAAGGAAGGCGAUGCCCUGCUCCGAGGUAAGUAAAGAAUAAGAAAAAAUGCGGGCGCUGGCCUCGCCUCGCCCGGAAGGCAGCCCAGUCCCCCCCCACACACACACACCGGGAAGCCGGAGAAGCGAGUUCCCCCAGAGGAGCAGCAGCGCGCGGAGGGGGUGCGGGUUUCUCCUGGUUUUCCUUUGGGCGCAAGGAAAAGACGGGCCGCCGCCCCCCCCCGUGGGGUAGAUCAGGGGAGGAAGAGCCCAAGGCUUUUUGCCGCCUGAGGCCAAGAUCUUCCCACUCCUGGCUCCAAAUACAGAAGCCGGCUGGACUGCCGCCUGAAUCUGAAAUCCUUCUGGGAAGAGUUAUUUACUCAAAUGCUGCUCUAAUCCAUGUAAGCUCUCUCUUUGCAUUAUACUUCUAGGAACAGAGAUGCAAAAAUUUGGUCAACUAGGUGAAGCUUUAAAAAAAAGGACUUAGAAAGGGUUUGCCAUUUCUCAGAAUGACAUUUGUUCCUGUUUAAUAUUUGUAUAUGUAUUGUUUUUAUCUUUAAAUAUUGUCUUUUAAUGCUGUACGCUGCCUUGGGUCCUUUUAAAGGAGAAAGGGCGGGUAAAAAAUAUUUUAAAUAAAUAGAAUUUAAGCACCA
rnacentral:lncRNA from 1 species